UGAAAGCAGGUUCACACUGAGCACAUGUGACAGACGUGACAGAGUCUGGAGACGCCGUGGAGAACGUUCUGCUGCCUGCAUCAUCCUCAAGCCUGACUGGUUUGGCGGUGGGUCAGUAAUGAUGUGGGGUGGCAAAGAUUGAGCUGAAUGUUCAAAAAACGAUAAAAGGGCCUGACACCAAAAAUGGACCAUGACACGGUCAGCCCUUCAAUCUCUGCAGUAAUGCUGGCAGCACUUCCCAAAGAUAACCUCUGGAUAUGACGCUGAGCACGUGCACUUAACUUCUUUGGUCGACCAUGAGCCUCAGAGUUAUUUGCCAAGAGGUGCCAUGUUGAACCUUCCAGUGACCAGUAUGAGGGAGUGUGAGAGCGAUAAAACCAAAUUUAACACACCUGCUCCCCAUUCACACCUGAGACCUUGUAACACUAACAAUUCACAUGAC